GACGAACGCUGGCGGCGUGCUUAACACAUGCAAGUCGAGCGGUAAGGCCCUUUCGGGGGUACACGAGCGGCGAACGGGUGAGUAACACGUGGGUGACCUGCCCUCAGCUCUGGGAUAAGCCCGGGAAACUGGGUCUAAUACCGGAUAUGACUCCAUGACGCAUGUUGUGGGGUGGAAAGCCUUGUGCGGCUGAGGAUGGGCCCGCGGCCUAUCAGCUUGUUGGUGGGGUGAUGGCCACCAAGGCGACGACGGGUAGCCGGCCUGAGAGGGCGACCGGCCACACUGGGACUGAGACACGGCCCAGACUCCUACGGGAGGCAGCAGUGGGGAAUCUUGCGCAAUGGGCGAAAGCCUGACGCAGCGACGCCGCGUGAGGGAUGACGGCCUCGG
rnacentral:rRNA from 1 species